rnacentral:rRNA from 1 species
CUAUGCGCCUUGCCAGCCCCGCUCAGAAACUCAAAGGAAUUGACGGGGACCCGCACAAGCAGCGGAGCGUGUGGUUUAAUUCGUUGCUACACGAAGAACCUUACCUAGGUUUGACAUAUAGGUUGUAGGGAACUGAAAAAGGGACCGACCCUUCGGGGAGCCUAUACAGGUGUUGCAUGGCUGUCGUCAGCUCGUGUCGUGAGAUGUUCGGUUAAGUCCGCUAACGAGCGCAACCCUCGUCGUAUGUUACAAGUGUCAUACGAGACUGCCGGUAAAAAGUCGGAGGAAGGUGAGGAUGAUGUCAAGUCAGCAUGACCUUUAUAUCUAGGGCUACACACACGCUACAAUGGUCUGUACAAUGGGUUGCCAAGCCGCGAGGCGGAGCCAAUCCUAAAAAGCAGGCCUCAGUUCAGAUUGCAGUCUGCAACCCGACUGCAUGAAGCCGGAGUUGCUAGUAACCGCAGGUCAGCAAUACUGCGGUGAAUACGUUCCCGGGUCUU